AAAAAUUGUUGCUGCUCAAUGUGACCGUUUAACCCCAAGCCAAAAAAUGUCAGUGUGACUACCGAAAAUAUACCAUUUCAAAAGUGUGGCUGGCUCGAACUGAACUGCCAGUGUUGCCAACCAUUAUUUAUAAAGUUAACUUCAACCAAAUUGUAAUCACCUUAAACUUAUUUAAAAUACUCUUUAAAAAGGGUGCCUUAAAGAUUUAUAGACCUAAAUUAAAUCAAUAGAUUGAAAAUCGUUAUCGUUAUUCGGAUCUAUGAAUGGUGGAUCAAUGGCAGCAUCUGGAAUUGACUCAGCUAAGGCCGUAAGAUCUAUUGGAUUGGGAUCGGGU